CUCCAGACUCCUACGGGAGGCAGCAGUGGGGAAUAUUGCACAAUGGGGGAAACCCUGAUGCAGCGACGCCGCGUGAGCGAUGAAGUAUUUCGGUAUGUAAAGCUCUAUCAGCAGGGAAGAAAAUGACGGUACCUGAAGAAGAAGCCCCGGCUAACUACGUGCCAGCAGCCGCGGUAAUACGUAGGGGGCAAGCGUUAUCCGGAUUUACUGGGUGUAAAGGGGGCGCAGACGGCGAUGCAAGCCAGGAGUGAAAGCCCGGGGCCCAACCCCGGGACUGCCCUUGGAACUGCGUGGCUGGAGUGCAGGAGGGGCAGGCGGAAUUCCUGGUGUAGCGGUGAAAUGCGUAGAUAUCAGGAGGAACACCGGUGGCGAAGGCGGCCUGCUGGACUGCAACUGACGUUGAGGCCCGAAAGCGUGGGGAGCAAACAGGAUUAGAUACCCCCGUACGC
rnacentral:rRNA from 1 species